AGGACUAACGCUGGCGGCGUGCCUAACACAUGCAAGUCGAACGGGGUAGCAAUACCCAGUGGCAGACGGGUGAGUAACACGUGGUCAACCUACCUUCGCGUGGGGGAUAACUAGCCGAAAGGUUAGCUAAUACCGCAUACGAUCGUUUCGGGGCAUCCCGAGACGAUGAAAGGAGCAAUCCGCACGAAGAGGGGACUGCGUCCCAUUAGUUAGUUGGUGGGGUAACGGUCUACCAAGACUCCGAUGGGUAGCUGGCUUGAGAGAGCGACCAGCCACACUGGAACUGAGACACGGUCCAGACUCCUACGGGAGGCAGCAGUGAGGAAUUUUCCGCAAUGGGCGAAAGCCUGACGGAGCGACGCCGCGUGUGGGAAGAAGGCCUUCGGGUCGUAAACCACUGUCGAAGGGGACGAUAUUGACGGUACCUUGGAGGAGCCCCGGCAACUACGCGCCAGCAGCCGC
rnacentral:rRNA from 1 species